UGGAAGUGGCGUGAUCCUACAGGACUUCAGAUUAAAAAAUGGCUUUCAAGUUAUUUGACAGUCUGAGGAUUCUGGGCCUCCAAAAGAGGACCAGGGGGUCUUGUCUAAACUCCAAAUGCAGCGAUUAAUGUCACUCUUCCACUCUCCGAAGAGCCUUUUCGGAUAGUGUUGCUUCUCCGUGCAGUUCUUCCUAACAACAGAACUUCAUUGCUCCUGUUGGAAACUGGCUCUUCCUUUGACCUCAGAAAUUAGCACACGUCCACUCAUGAUCCCCAGCUGCCCUUUUAUACAGGGAAAGGCUGUCUCUGACCACAUCCUCACACCCAUGUCUACAGAAUCAAUGCCUGAAUUAGACCUUCCGUCUGGAAGUUCUCCGAAUCCACACACUCACACUCUACCUGCCCCUAAGGUCUUUCUGGCCACUGGCCUGGCAUGAGCUAAGCGUCCAAGGAGAUUUCUUUAACUCACCAGGCCGCCCCUCUCUGGGAGAGGAAAGGGAAAUUGAGUUUUGGCAAAGACACAAAGAUUCUGUGAUUGAAACCAAGAAGUUCCUUGUGUGAAAAAGAAAAGUCUGUGUAUGAGCAAAGGCUGAAUCGAACAAAAACUAAGUGGUUGUCAUGUUCAGAUCAGAGGACAGCUCCCUUAAGACACUCUUGAGAAGAAUCAUUUUGGGAUGGUAGAGACAAAAGGGGAUGGAAAGAUGUCACCUCAUACUCAUGAGCCACCGUAUUUGUGGAGUUUUUAUGUCUAUAAAGUA